AGGCAAGACUCUGGAGAGAGGCGCCGGAUGCGCGUCCGCCGAAGGGAUAACGAUCUCAGGCCGAAGGACAGAGGGGGCAGU
rnacentral:ncRNA from 2 species